rnacentral:rRNA from 1 species
GACGAACGCUGGCGGCGUGCUUAAUACAUGCCAGUCGAACGGAAAGGCCCUGCUUUUGUGGGGUGCUCGAGUGGCGAACGGGUGAGUAACACGUGAGUAACCUGCCCUUGAAUUUGGGAUAACUUCAGGAAACUGGGGCUAAUACCGGAUAGGAGCUCCUGCUGCAUGGUGUGGGUUGGAAAGUUUCGGCGGUUGGGGAUGGACUCGCGGGUUAUCAGCUUGUUGGUGGGGUAGUGGCUUACCAAGGCUUUGACGGGUAGCCGGCCUGGGAGGGUGACCGGCCACAUUGGGACUGCGAUACGGACCAGACUCCUACGGGAGGCAGCAGUGGGGAAUAUUGCACAAUGGGCGGAAGCCUGAUGCAGCAACGCCGCGUGCGUGAUGCCGGCCUUCGAGUUGUAAACCGCUUUCGCCUGUGACGAAGCGUGAGUGACGGUAAUGGGUCAAGAAGCACCGGCUAACUACGUG